rnacentral:rRNA from 1 species
AUUGAACGCUGGCGGCAGGCUUAACACAUGCAAGUCGAACGAGUGGCGGACGGGUGAGUAAUGCUUGGGAAUCUAGCUUAUGGAGGGGGAUAACUACGGGAAACUGUAGCUAAUACCGCGUACCAUAGGAUGAGCCCAAGUGGGAUUAGGUAGUUGGUGAGGUAAAGGCUCACCAAGCCGACGAUCUCUAGCUGGUCUGAGAGGAUGACCAGCCACAGUGGGACUGAGACACGGCCCAGACUCCUACGGGAGGCAGCAGUGGGGAAGAUUGCGCAAUGGGGGCAACCUGAGGCAGCCAUGCCGCGUGUAUGAAGAAGGCCUUCGGGUUGUAAAGUACUUUCGGUAGGGAGGCGUUACCGACAGAAGAAGCACCGGCUAACUCCGUGCCAGCAGCCGCGGUAAUAC